AUGAUGACCGUGGAUAAGGUCAGUUGCUGUGCUAUAAUGAUAUCCCUGACUGACAUGGAUCAGUAUCAGUCUGAGGAAAAGCCUGGUGCACAUGCCUCCCAAAUGGUAAGUCCAGGCUUUUGCAAUCUGUGGAAAGUUAGUGCAAAUACUGUGCUCCACUUCCUUCCUCUCAGUGAGAUUUUGAAGUUCUGGUUUUAGUCGCUCAUGUCAGAUCAGGAAAUGCAGCAAAAAAAGGAAUUCUCAUGUUUCUGUUGUGAUGUGUAGGAUGAAGAGCUACAAGCAGAAGUGGGAUAUCUAGAUAUGUAAGUGUGAUGAAGAGGGUUCUCUAGUCUCCCUAUUAUUUGUUUUUUAAACUUUUGUCGCCCUCAAAAGUAAUUUUAGGGAAAGGGGGGAAAAGAGCAGCAAGGUGCCUUUAUAGAUGUUUCAGAUGCAACACAGCACAAGAGAGAGUUUUCUUGGAAUGUAAUGGUAGCAGAAGAUAAGAGUUGGAUAACCUGUGAAAGACCUAGAAGUAAAUAUGGUGGAAGUGUAAGACACAGGGGGACAAUUGCCUUCCUGUUCUGCUUGCUGACAUGGUGACUUGAAGAGCUGUUUCUAAACCUGGUUGAGCUCACACACAGAACUGCUGUAACUGGGUUCAGCUUCCUCAUGCAACAUGUGUCAUCACACAUGGUUUUCUGGCCAUCCCCUUGUGCUGUACAGGAUGGUUGGAGCUAUAUGUGUUAAUUUCUGGUGGUUUUAGCUCUUCUUUGCUGCUUGUUUCUAGAUUUGGCUCUACAUUCCUUUUAGUCACAGUCUGUGCUCUGAGCCACAUCUGACUGCUGAUUCCACCAUUGCUCGCUGCCUUGUCUGCUGGGGAUUCUCCUGGGAGCCAGGGAAGAAAGAGAACACCUAGGAAAGAAGUGGGGAAAUGGGAAGGUGGGGAGAAAAGGGGAGCAGAGUUUGUGUUAUUUUUUUUCUUACAGCACAAUGCCCUUCACAGUUUCCAUGCAAUAUGGCCUUUCUCUUCUUGUGGGCUGUGUUCCAGGGAAGGAUUUUUCAGUUAAUAAACCCUGAUUGAGUCAAAAAAGUCUGUUGCA
rnacentral:lncRNA from 1 species